rnacentral:rRNA from 1 species
UCGAACAAUUCCUAAAUAGUCUCUGACUAUAGCUAGUUAUUAGUGGCAGACGGGUGAGUAAUGCGUAGGAAUCUACCUAGUAGUAUGGAAUAGCUAUUAGAAAUGAUAGGUAAUACUGUAUAAUCCCUGCGGGGGAAAGAUUUAUCGCUAUUAGAUGAGCCUACGUUAGAUUAGCUAGUUGGUAAGGUAAUGGCUUACCAAGGCUAUGAUCUAUAGCUGGUCUGAGAGGACGAUCAGCCACACUGGAACUGAGAUACGGUCCAGACUCCUACGGGAGGCAGCAGUGGGGAAUAUUGGACAAUGGGCGAAAGCCUGAUCCAGCUAUGCCGCGUGAGUGAAGAAGGCCUUCGG